GACGAACGCUGGCGGCGUGCUUAACACAUGCAAGUCGAACGGAAAGGCCCUGCGUGUGUGGGGUGCUCGAGGGGCGAACGGGUGAGUAACACGUGAGUAACCUGCCCUUGACUUUGGGAUAACUUCAGGAAAGUGGGGUUAAUACCGGAUAGGAGACCCUGCUGCAUGGUGGGGGUUGGAAAGUUUCGGCGGUUGGGGCUGGACUCGCGGCUUAUGAGCUUGUUGGUGGGGGAGGGGUUUACCAAGGCUUUGACGGGUAGCCGGCCCGAGAGGGUGACCGGCCACAUGGCGACUGAGGGACGGCCCAGAGUCGUACGGUAGGCAGUAGUGGGGAGUCUUGCCCAACGAGAGGAAGCCUGAUGCGGAAACGCCGCGUGCGGGAUGCCGGCCUGCGGGUUGUAAACCGCUUCCGCCUGUGACGACGCGUGUGUGACGGUAAUGGGUGAAGAAGCACCGGCUAACUACGUG
rnacentral:rRNA from 1 species